CCCGGCUCGCGCUCGCUCCCGGGGCUGCCUCACGCGUCCACCACCGCCCGCCGGGCCGCCGCCUCCGGCCGCCUCCUCGUCCUCCACCCCCGCCCCGCUGUGCUCCGGGCAGCGUCCCGCGCGGAGAAGGGGGCGGGCGGCGGAGAGAUAUCCUUCCUCCGGUGCGCCGAGGAGUCCGACGCCGCCGCCGGCUUCCCAGGCGCUGAGGGCGAGAGGCACGUUAAACUGCUAGGCUCCGCCACAUAACGAACCGACAAUAAAGCCGGCGGAGCGUUUCCGUCCGACCAGGCCCUGGCGGAGGUCGAAUGGCAAAUGAACAACGGACCGUGCGCCCACAAUGCACCGGGAAAAUGCACCGCCCCGAGUGUCUUAUUGCUGUGAUGAAAUGGAAAUUUAAAUAAAAGGUCGAACACGUGCGUUCACUGGGAAGUAUUGACAUGGGUGUUACAUCACCACCAGCCAAUCAGAUAACUCCAGUCGUGUUUAUACUUCUACAACCACCUUGUCUUCCUGAUAUAUAUAAAGAAAUAUUAAGGUCUUCCUCUAAACCUUAAGGGAGAUGGAAUCAAAAUCAAAGUUCAAGAGGAUAGUAAUCACAAACGUCUCAAAACAGCUCUAAGUAAAGAUACUGAACUAAUGUUUCCAUCGAAUUUACAUUAAAAACAAUAAUCAUAUACAUACAAUGGAAUAUAAUUUUGUCCUAAAAAAGGAGGGAAAUCUUGCCAUUUGUAACACUAUGGUUGAAACUGGAGGACAUUAUGAAAUGAAGGUGAAGCUCUUCCGAACAUUCGUGAUCAACCAACAUAAAAUUCAUCUUGAACUUUGAUAUAUUACUCUUGCAACAAGACCCAUAAAGAAUGGCUAUGCCACUAUACCUCUGUUCUCAAAAGGAGUUGACCAGACAGUGUAGGUGGAGAAGGAAAAACUCAGAAGCACUUUUGGAUAAACUGCUCAAAGUAGUUGCACUACUUACAAUGGCUCAGCAGAGUCUUCUGCAUGAACAAAGACAGUGAACGUGAGUGAGACUUCCCGGUAGCCACCACCCACAAAAAAGAAGCAAGAUUCUAAAAUAAAAUGAACAGGAUAACAAUUUCCUAUUUGGAGGAAUCUUGGAAUCUAGGCUUUCUUUUGCUUGGUAACUUUCCCCAUUUAUUCCCUCAGGUUAAUUAUUUUCCCUGCUAGCAUGUUUUAUGGUUGUGUUUGUUUGUUAAAUUGUCUACAAAUGUACAAGUUUAUUAAAAAACCAUAAAUA